rnacentral:lncRNA from 1 species
AAUUAGUAUACCGGAUCCGCUGCGAUUUGGGACCCGGAUUCGGGGAUGCUACAGAUUCAGUCCGUUGACGACGAGUGGCUUCAAGAGGAGUGAGAGAAAUAGUAAGGGGUGGAGAGAAGAAGAAGAAGAAUAAGAAGAUUUUAGAGAGAGAAAUACUAGAACAAAGGAUAUGGGAGUUGAGAGAAAAAUAAGGAAGAAGAAGAAGAAGAUUUCAUGCGUGCGGAGAGAAGAAGAAGAAGAAUAAGAAGAAGAAAGAAGAAGAAGAAGAAGAAGAAGAAGAAGAUUUUAGAGAGAGAAAUACCCGAACAAAGGAUAUGGGAGUUGGGAGAAAAAGAAGGAAGAAGAAGAAGAAGACGCGUUUAAAAAAAAACCCACCAGAUUUGCCAUAUCAGCCCAUUAAUACUAAUCCCUUAAAUUAAGGAAUCCUAAUUGCACUAUUAUUGUAAAUAAAUAUGGAAAAGUGUAAUAUUUUUGUAAUUAUUUUAUAGGUGUAUGAUUUUUUGUAAUUAUUUCUAAAAAAGUACUAAUAAAUAUAAUUCUUCCAUUUUUCUUUGGUUAUUCCAAAACCUUUCCCAAACUUUGAGUCACUUUCCACUCAGGUUAGAUUGUAUCGAAGGAAUAGAAUAAAGAGUAG